AACGAACGCUGGCGGCAUGCCUAACACAUGCAAGUCGAACGAGACCUUCGGGUCUAGUGGCGCACGGGUGCGUAACGCGUGGGAACCUGCCCUUAGGUUCGGAAUAACUCCCCGAAAGGGGUGCUAAUACCGGAUAAUGUCUUCGGACCAAAGAUUUAUCGCCUUUGGUUGGGCCCGCGUUGGAUUAGCUAGUUGGUAGGGUAAAAGCCUACCAAGGCGACGAUCCAUAGCUGGUCUGAGAGGAUGAUCAGCCACACUGGGACUGAGACACGGCCCAGACUCCCACGGGAGGCAGCAGGGGGGAAGAAGGGACAAUGCGCGAAAGCCUGAUCCAGCAAGGCCGCGUGAGUGAUGAAGGCGUUAGGGUUGUAAAGCUCUUUUACCCGGGAUGAUAAGGACAGAACCGGUAGAAGAAGCUCCGGCUAACUCCGU
rnacentral:rRNA from 1 species